rnacentral:lncRNA from 1 species
GCUGUUUUGCAUGAUAAGCACUUUUUUAGUGAUCUAGAAUUUUUAGAAUAUCUUUAAAAGCAGCUUAACAUUACCCUGAGAAGAAGUUUAGAAUCUAGCUCCCAUAGCUGUGGUAACCUGCUCUCAUGCUUUGGGAACUGUUGCACUGCAUCUCAGGUGAGAAUACGGAAACCUGUUGGGAAUAGCCACUAUAGUUGUUACUGUUUUCCAUGGCAUAUAUGAUUAGAUUUAAGUUGUUGUUUUUUGUUUGUUUGUUUUGGGGGAUUUUUUGUUUUUUUUUUCCUUUUUUUUUUAGUUUUGAUUUAUUUUUAGUAGCUCAUAGUGAUGUCCAUGACUACUGUUAACAGGUAUCAUAUGCAUUGGGAUGGUUUCGUCACAUCUGUAACAGCUGUGAUUGUUUAACUUUCCAAAAACCACUGAGUGACACUAGGGCAUCAGGCCACCAUCUCCUGCAGGGCCAACCAGAGUACCGUAACUGCUGAAAUCAAAUGCUGCUGAAGACAGAGAAAAAUAAACAGAAGAGAGGGACUGCUGCUGCCUUUUGUGACUAAGAUAACUAUUUCUCUGAGUUGUAUUUUUUUUAAGUCUCUAUACAAGUCCUCAAAGGCCCAGUUCUUGUGAUCAUUGCCUGUGAAGAGUGCUGAGGAAACUGAAGUUCAUAAUAAGCAUUCUUGACUUCCUGAUUGAUUGACGUGUUGUUUCCCUGACUAACUGGUGUUUGCAUCGAUUUCAUGGGUAUAAGGAAUCUCUUUAAUCUGUGGAAGUGUCACAUCAACUGGGAUUGUUGGGUCGUCAGUAAUUUGUAUAUCUUGAGAUUACAUAAGCAUAGUAAAAUUUGCUUUGGCACUAAACAUUUUCAAGUUGUGACUAAAUAAUUUUAACUGACUUGUAGUAGAUAAAUAUGAGUUAGUCUUCCAGUCCUGAAACAACACACACUUUUCAAAAUAUUGUGUAAUAGAGUAUUGUAUAAAUAAUAUGUACUAAUAUAAAUUAAAAACUAAUUUUCUUUUAGUUUGCAAAUAA